rnacentral:rRNA from 1 species
CACGUAGGGCGCAAGCGUUGUCCGGAAUUAUUGGGCGUAAAGAGCCCGUAGGCGGUCUGUUGCGUCCGCUGUGAAAACUCGGGGCUUAACCCCGAGCCUGCAGUGGAUACGGGCAGACUAGAGGUAGGUAGGGGAGAAUGGAAUUCCAGGUGUAGCGGUGAAAUGCGCAGAUAUCGGGAGGAACACCGGUGGCGAAGGCGGUUCUCUGGGCCUUACCUGACGCUGAGGAGCGAAAGCGUGGGGAGCGAACAGG